rnacentral:rRNA from 1 species
UAAGGAAUAUUGCUCAAUGGGAGAAAUCCUGAAGCAGCAACGCCGCGUGGAGGAUGAAGGGUCUAUGACUUGUAAACUCCUGUAAAGAAGGAAAAAAUUCCCAUUAGAUGGGAGAUGAUGGUACUUCUGGAGUAAGCCCCGGCUAACUACGUGCCAGCAGCCGCGGUAAUACGUAGGGGGCAAGCGUUGUCCGGAUUUACUGGGUGUAAAGGGUGCUCAGGCGGAUUUGUAAGUCAGAGGUGAAAUCUUACAGCUUAACUGUGAAACUGCCUUUGAUACUGCAAGACUAAAGUAUGGAAGAGAGUGAUGGAAUAUCUGGUGUAGCAGUGAAAUGCGUAGAUAUCAGAUAGAACACCAAUGGCGAAGGCAGUCACUUGGUCCAUUACUGACGCUAAAGCACGAAAGCGUGGGUAGCAAACA